rnacentral:rRNA from 1 species
AGCGGCGGACGGCUGAGUAACACGUAGGAACGUACCCCAAACUGAGGGAUAAGCACCAGAAAUGGUGUCUAAUACCGCAUGUGAUCUUCGGAUUAAAGCUCCGGCGGUUUGGGAACGGCCUGCGCAUGAUUAGCUAGUUGGUGAGGUAAUAGCUCACCAAGGCGACGAUCAUUAGCUGGUCUGAGAGGAUGAUCAGCCAGACUGGGACUUGAGAACGGCCCAGACUCCUACGGGAGGCAGCAGUAGGGAAUUUUCCACAAUGGACGAAAGUCUGAUGGAGCAACGCCGCGUGCAGGAUGAAUGCCUUAGGGUUGUAAACUGCUUUUCUCUGUGACGAAUAUGACGGUAGCAGAGGAAUAAGGACCUGCUAACUACGUGCCAGCAGCCGCGGUCAUACGUAGGGUCCAAGCGUUAUCCGGAAUUACUGGGCGUAAAGAGUUGCGUAGGUGGCAAAGUAAGCGGGUAGUGAAAUGACGGGGCUCAACCUCGUGUCCAUUACCUG